rnacentral:hammerhead_ribozyme from 1 species
AUCCAGCUGAUGAGUCGUAUUUAGGAUGAAACGCACGUCCUGUAU